UGGGCCUCGAGGAUGUACUCUUUCCCGUGU
rnacentral:piRNA from 1 species